UACAGAGGUCCCAAGCGUUGUUCGGAUUCACUGGGCGUAAAGGGUGCGUAGGUGGCCAGGUAAGUUUGGUGUGAAAGCUCGGAGCUUAACUCCGAAAAGUCAUUGAAUACUAUCUGGCUGGAGGGUCGGAGGGGAGACUGGAAUUCCCGGUGUAGCAGUGAAAUGCGUAGAUAUCGUGAGGAAGGCCAGUGGCGAAGGCGGAUCUCUGGACAGUUCCUGACACUGAGGCACGAAGGCCAGGGGAGCAAACGGG
rnacentral:rRNA from 1 species